GAUCAUGGCUCAGGAUGAACGCUAGCUACAGGCUUAACACAUGCGAGUCGAGGGGCAGCAUGGUCUUAGCUUGCUAAGACUGAUGGCGACCGGCGCACGGGUGAGUAACACGUAUCCAACCUGCCGUCUACUCCUGGACAGCCUUCUGAAAGGAAGAUUAAUACAAGAUGGCAUCAUGAGUCCGCAUGUUCACAUGAUUAAAGGUAUUCCGGUAGACGAUGGGG
rnacentral:rRNA from 1 species